CAGUAGCCGCGGUAAUACGAAGGGGGCUAGCGUUGCUCGGAAUGACUGGGCGUAAAGGGCGCGUAGGCGGUUUGCCAAGUUAGAUGUGAAAUUCCCGGGCUUAACCUGGGGACUGCAUUUGAUACUGGCAGGCUUGAGUGUGGAAGAGGGUCGUGGAAUUCCCAGUGUAGAGGUGAAAUUCGUAGAUAUUGGGAAGAACACCGGUGGCGAAGGCGGCGACCUGGUCCAUAACUGACGCUGAGGCGCGAAAGCGUGGGGAGCAAACAGGAUUAGAUACCCCAGUAGUCCCUGUCUCUUAUAC
rnacentral:rRNA from 1 species